ensembl:lncRNA
UCCACUUCCGUAUUGAGCACGUCACUGGUACUUCCUGUUGGCUUAUAAGCAAGAAUCAGGAGGAUAGAAUUAUGGUCAGAUUUGCCGAAUGGAAGGCCAGGGAGAGCUUUGUAUGAGUCUCUGUGUGUGAAGUAAAGGUCACAAGCAAAGACUUGUCAGGUCUCAACAUCAACACUGGCACGCAUCCUAAAGAAAAAACAUAUUCAAAUGAAGCAAAUUUAUCGAGUGCCUUUCGAGCGCAAUUCCGAAAGGGUGAAACGACUGCGGCAUGAUUAUGCAGAGAGAGUUUUACGAAUGGAUGGAGAGGAGAUCCAGCAUCAGUUCAUUUACGUAGAUGAGGCUGGGUUCAACCUGAAGAGAACACGAAGGAGGGGAAGAAACAUCAUUGGCCACAGGGCUAUAGUCAAUGUCCCAGGGCAACGUGGGGGUAAUAUAACACUCUGUGCAGCCAUUACACAGAAUGGGGUCCUCCACCGCCAUGCCCAUAUGGG